CCCGCGCGCGUUCCCCGGCCUCGCGCUCUGGACCGGUUACCGAGUCGUGCACCAAAUAAAGUAAAGGUCUGGCUCCUGCCGGGCGAGGCGGGCGGGCGAGCGGCGUGCCAGCCGGCUCCGGGGUGUGGCGAGCCCUCGGUUGCCCAGAAAAGAUGCAACGCGCGUCAGCAAGAGCCUUGGCUGCUGCCGCGAGGGUCCCUGACGCGCUGCCGGCUGUCCCGGGUGGAUUUUCUAAGUUGGGGAGGGCGCAUGACAAGAGCUGCCCCAGAUGUCACUCCCUUUUUGGAAAUCAUGAGGCUGCCUUUUUUUUUUUUUUUUUAAACGACUGUGGCUAUAAUAAGGCAAACGGUCCACGCUGGUGGAGUAAACUCUCAUACUUAAGGGGCAUCCGUCUUCGGGGAAAGCACACCGAGGCACGGGUGCGUGUCCAUAAAAAUGUUAUUUAUUAAGCGAACCUCAGGACAAGCCCAUAUGGGUACUACAGAGUCAAAUAAAGUAUUGCAGGCACCGACUGCCUAAAAGGGAGUUGCCUUUUUACAGAGAGACCUUUAUUAAAAUUACGGCAACGGCCAAAAAGUUUUUUCUUGCGUCAUAGCACCGUUGGGCGCUGGAGGUGCCCCGCAAUCCAUGGACUUCUAAUUUCCGUUCAUUGUUAGGUUCAAUACUCCGCAGUAACGUCUCAAAAAAAAUCCAAGAAGCAUGACCUCAUCCUUGCACAAGAUGACGCCGAAAUGGCAUGUAGUACCAGCCUUGGAGUGCGGGCCGAGGAACUUCACUGUGGACUGAGGGUUGUGUAAUAGUUUCAGGCACGAAAUCAUUUUAGAAGCGUGGGAUGAAUUCCUACAGAACCGUCCCCUCCUUCUGUAUUUUAUCGAAGAACUCGCAAGGCUUCUCAGGUUGCAGCUCGAUUCCUACGAAGCUAUUUUUGCUCUUUGCCCGAGCCCAUUGGUCUUGACACAGCAUGGCUAGAGUCACCCGCUCCGCUCCUGGACAAAAGACCUUUGAGAGCGAAUUCUGCAGAGAGAGUCUCUCUGAAAACACACCUCAGAAUUGUCCAGUUCUGUCCCAGACACACGACAACACUGGAACAGAGGUCAGGACGUCUCCAGGUGUUCCUGGGCUUUGGGUGAUCAUUUCAGAGAGAGACAGAGCACGCGUGGGGAAGGAACAAAGGGAGAGGGAGACGCAGAAUCCCAAGCAGGCCCCAGGCUCCGAGCUGUCAGCACAGAGCCCGACACGGGGCUCGAACCCACGGACCGCGAGAUCAUGACCCGAGCCGAAGUCGGCGCUUAACUGAGCCACCUGGGCAUCCUGAACUGGUACGUUUGUUAAUGAAAAUGGUUUAAGCAGACAUUAAAGUGUGAGUUUUAGAUACUCCAGGACCGGUUUGUUGGGGGGUGGGGGGGGGGACACGGGGACACCUAAGGCUGGCUGCUUCUCAGAGCGCUGAAGACAGUCUAGCUGGAGACCAGGUCUCACACGUACAGAUCUGACAGCAGGGCACGGUGUUUUCCCAUCCAGGCCAAACAGUUGGCACGCAUAAGGGCAGUGGGGCCAGGAAACGCCCACGCUGUCUUCCUGCACAUCACGAAUAAGGUGGCACAUAUUCCUUUCCCUGUGCCUGUCUGUAUUCAGGUUUUCUUAACAAUGAGAUUUCUCUGGAGCGCGUGUCCUAUAUAACCGCAGAGACGAGUAGCUGACGAGGGAGGUAGUGUCGACUCGCACAGGAUUCUGAGCCAGAGAGUCCUGGCUUUGUGUCUUAGAACCCCAGCUGUGCCCAUCACCAGCUGUGAGACCUUAGGGUGUUCACCUCACUCCCCAUAAAAAUGGGGCAAUCUCUUCCUCUCUGCAGGGUUUUCGGGAGAGGCAGAAAGAGCCCUCCAAGAGGGCCGAGCGUGGUAGGUUCUCAGGAAAUGGAAUGAAUUCGGGUUCUCCUAAACUGAAAUCAUAAACUACCUGUAGGUUGUCAUUGGCUAGAAGCCCUCCUCACUCCUGCUUAGAGCUCUCGAGAACAGGCUGUGGCUUUAAAAAUGCAGAUGCCUUCUGCAGAAGAGGAAAGGCUGUGCGAGGAAAGCCAAAGGGCACCGUGUCCUAACUGGCACGACUCUGUCUGCACCCUGAUGCCUGCUUGCUGGUCCCAGAAUGCUGAGCAGGGACCCGGACCAGGGCUUCUGUGGUUGUGGGCCCAACCGUAAGGCCAUAAUACAUCACCAUUCUUUCCCCAAUGGUCAUCCCCAGGGAAAAUGCACGUAAGCCUCAGAAAGCCUUCAAGGGGGUCAGCAGCACAAGGUGUGGGAACCGGAGGUGGGGGUGGGGAAGAUGCAGUUCCCGGGCUGCCCGGAAGCGACGGGCUCUCUGGAGUGUGUUGCUGAUGGCAAUAUGGCCGCCACACUGGGCGCCCGAAGCGAUGGCCGCCAUAUGCAUUUUAUGCCGUCAUGUUGAUUAGACCCGCUCCUGUUUGCUCUCUGCAAAUACUGCCUGAUUGGAAAAUUAGGAGAGCCACGUGCAUUUGCUUCAUAUUGUCCAGGAUGGAAAACCCUGGCCCUUUGUGCCGUAAGGAAAAUAUCUGAGAGGCUAUUGGUCUAAGUUUGUUUUUUUAAUGUUUAUUUAUUUCCUUUUGAGAGAGAGAGCGCGCACAAGUGGGGGAGGGACAGAGAGAGAGAGAGGGAGACACAAAAUCCAAAGCACACUCCAGGCUCUGAGCUGUCAGCACAGAGCUCAACACGGGGCUUGACUCACAAACCGUAAGAUCACGACCUGAGUGGAAGUCAGACACUUAACCUACUGUGGCCCCUGGGCGCCCCAAUGGGGCCUGAGCUUUCAAUGUCACGGAGAGAGAAUGCGCCAGAGCAGCAUCAACGCUGAUGGACCAAAAUGGUGAGGAAAAUGGGAUAAAAAUGGGAAAUAAAUUAGGAUGUCUGAGAGGCAAGCCGUCACUAACACCAGAGAAGGAUUAAACCCCAAACACUACUUAUGAGUUUUAUGUGUAAGUUUGCAAUUCAUAUUAGUCCCACAGAGAAGCUACAUUAAGAAUAGUGGAUUAAAUAAAUAAAGAAUAAUGGCAGACUGUGGCGAUUGUCAUUUGUCACCCAUAGUGCUCCACGUUUCCACUCGGUGGCAACAAAACCAGUGAUCUAAAUAUUAGCAAGUGGAACACACGAUAAACAUUUAGUUAUAUAUUAUUAUCCCUGUAAAGUCAUUACAACAGAAAUAAAAACUGUUUUUUAUUUUAAGUAUUAAUAUUCAUCAAAUGUUAAUGAAAAUACCUAACAAAUAAUUAUGAAAAACACAUGGCUUAAGUAAUAAAGAUGAAAGAGAUGAUAAUCGUUGUGAAUAUUUAAUCCACAAAAUAAAGAACAUACCAUUAAUAAGACUUAAUUAUGUCAUUAAAUAUUUAACUUUACUUUCGCUCCUAAAUUUUGUUUGCACUUGGCAUAUUUCAAAUGCAAAAAGCUUUUCAAUAAGAUUUGUGGUUUCAGCAACAGCAAAUGCCAGCACAUCUAAGUUUGACUUACUGUCUUCAUCAAAUUGGUCAAACAUCAUUUUAUUUAUCAUUAAGUGAAAUGAACGACGCUCUUGGCGUUUACUACAAGUUAUGCUUUAUACAAAAGAGGGGUUUAAGAAUUGAUUCUAGGUUAGAGCCACAAAAACAGUGUUUUCUAGUGGUGAGGAAAAAUAAUUGCUUUUCUUUUAGUUUUUGUUUGUUUGUUUGUUUUUGGUUUUUUUUUUGUUUUUUGGAGUAUCUCACUACUUUGUGCAUUCCCUACCGUUUGCAUAGAAAACUGCAGAUCUGAUUCUGCCUUGGCUUGCUAGAGAAUGGAUCCUACAGCAGCCACCAAUAGACCCACCCAUGUCCUCGGAAUUGGUCCCUUAUAACUCCUGUUUCCCGAAACACGCUUACAAGUAACAGAGAGUAAGUUAGGUUCCUGGUGCCGCUGAAGGCACUGGGAACUCCCGCCCUCCCUCUGGCAUGAAGUGACAGCCUCCUCUCCGUCGCCCAGUGCAGGGCUUGGCCGUAUCGCUCAGUGGGCACAGCCAGACCACGCGCACAGCAUAGGGACACAGCUGGCCCUGCUCGUCACGGCCAACUACGCGUAUCUCUUCACAUUCUGUGUUCAGCGGCAUCACACUGGUGGCUGGAAAUCAGCCGUGAAACGUUUACACCAAAGAAAUGGGCAAAUGCUACUCUGGGCUCCACCGCGCCCCCCACGCUAGAGGACCCGUUAAACAUUUACUAGCGCAUCCCUGCGCGCACAUGCAGGGAUCCGGACGUGAUGCCCGGCUGUCUCCUCCUGUGCCCUUUCCCUAUCCGGGCCUCUGAUGACCCGAAGCUCACUCUGUGGUCGCCAGCAGGGCAGGGCACCAGGCACCCACCUCAGGCAGCUCUCACUGUGCGGUGUGGCCUCUCGGUCUUUCUCCCCUGGCCUCUGAGUCUCCUGACCAACUUUUCUUCCUGGUCAGGCAGCUGAGGCAGGGGCGUAAACGGCCUUGGCAGGCUUUUCCUUCGCUGACUAGAACAUAAAGAGCUCUUUGUUGGGAGAGGAAGGCCAAUCCUUUCAUGGAAGUCUCUAGCUAUGUUUGCUGCUCAGUCAGUACCUCAAGUUGGGCCCUGAGGGCCAAGCAGGAAGCUGGACGAGAGGCAAGGGACCCACUGUCCCAGUUGGCCCAGGACUGAGGGCCUUACUGUACUAAAACUAAGGGUAGUUCCAGACGACCCUAGCUGGUUGGUCACCCUCAGGGCGUCUCCCAUCAUUUCUCCCUCUCUGAGGCUGGACGCUGGGUGACAUCAGGAGGCCCAGAUCUUUGGAAAGGCCUCUUCCUCCUCUGAUGGCUGCCAGCAAGAACAGGAGAAAUCAGGGAAGAAACCAGAAUUCCUGAGGGGAGAUGCAGUGUUUCCAUCCUGGGGCAUAAAUGAAGAUCGUGGGCUCAAUCCGUCACCCAUUAAGGACCCCAGUUACCUAAUCUCCAGGGCGUGAGCCCCAGGUGCUGGGAGAGGCCUGCAGGGAGGCUGGUCUGGCCUCCCGCCUCCUGACUGUCAGGCCUGUGCAGGCCCAUUGAUAUUCCAGGGCGGUCGGCAGCCUCAGAGUUUCCCAGCCCCCACAGACAUGCUCUUCUGACUUUCCUUUCCAACUUGGCUGUCGGUACCUGACUGGCACACCGGUCCGGCCCUUGGGGGCAGAGGCCUGGCACGUCGGCCUGUCGAUACUAGACAAACAGGCCCAUCCUGACCCCCGCGGCGGCCUUCAGGGACGUGCUGGCCCUUUUCAGAGGAAACAUUGGUGUCUGUGCAAAACUUCCAACUUUGAAAGAAUGAACGGUGACCAGAAUAAUAAUGGGGCGAGUUGCCCGGACUCCUCGUGCUCAAACUUGUCUUAGAGUCGAGCCGUUUUUGAUCGUCUCCCCGUUUUCCCAUCUCUGCAGUGAGGUGGGCAGUUAGGCGGGCCCCAGGGCUGGGGGUGGUGUUGGGUGGUUCCCCUUACUCCUGAGGGGCUCUGUCCACAUAGGGGGUGCUCGUGCACAGGCUGGAGUCUGUCUUGUUAGCCAGCAAGAGGUUGAUUAACUGUCCCUAGAGAUUCAGAGGCUGGGACGGGUGACUUUAGUCACCGAGUAAGGCCCGGCCACUCAUCGGUUUUGCCUCCCUCCACCUGCCUGCCAUUUGCCAGCCCUCUAAGGGUCUACUCAGGGACCACCCCUCCGAAGUCUCAGCAGCUCAGUCAGAGGCUCCCUCUCCAGGCUCACCUGGCACUCAGUGCUUAAGUCUUUCAUGGCCCUUGCUCAUAUCAACACUAUUUUUUGUCCUCCUUGAGGACUUCUGGGCGGAAGAGAGCUUUUCGUAUCAUCUCUGCAUCGAUAACAGCGCCUUAUACUCAGUAAAUGCUCAAUAAAUGCCCACCGAGGAUUUUGAAUGCUUGCAGGACUCCCUUUGAAUCACAGCUCAAGGGAUUACCUCUUCCGGGAAGCUUUUUUGGGUUAAUCAAGGGUACCUUCACCUUUAAGUAUGAUCCCGACCCUCCCUUAUGUUGGGAAGUAGUGAAUAUGGUGUAAUUAGUCCUGAUAGCUAAUGUGAGUUGAGCACUCACAUCAUGCCAGGCGCUGUGGGAAGCACUUCACGUGCCUUUCUGUCCUUAAGUGACAAUACCCCACUGAAUUAAGUUCCGCUAACAUGGUCCCCAUUAUCCAGAUGAUAAAGCGGAGGCACCGAGAGGUUAAGAAACUUACGUAAGUUGACUUAUCUGGGAAGUGCUGAGGUCAGGAUCGAACCCAUCUCGUCUGGCUUUCGACUGGCUCGCUCACGAUGUCCGACUCUCUCUGAGUUUUAUAUUUGGUUGCAUAUUGAAUGAAUGGUUGAAAUCCCCAGGGUGGCAUGUCUGUGAUGAAAUGUGCCUGCACAGUCCAACCGGCAGCCCCUUUUCCCGUGGGGCCGCUGAGCCCCUGAAAUGUGGUGAGAGUGUGCCCAAGAAAAUAAAACGUUUACGUUUUAACUAAUGUCAGUUUCAAUAGCCUCAUGUGACUAGUCGCUACUGUAUUGGACAGCACAACACGGAAGCUGAAGGAUGUAUUUUGACUAUCUUUCCUAAGUCUCUUACCGUGUGGUCCACGGCCAUCCAAGAAGAACUUGGAAUGGCUAGUCUUCGUGUCUUUCAGUGCUGGGAAAACACCCAGCUAUUACUUGCGCUGAAUUCGUGGAAUAAGUCGAUGUCCGUCCUUACAGUGUUUUUUUUCUACCUCCAGUGGUUUCCCGCACGCGAAGACAUGCACAGUUCUAGUUUCUUCAUUCACAGAGGCCUAGAGAAGAAUAGAUGGUCCAGGGCGGACUGGUAAACUAGCGCUGAGACCAGGGACAGGAAGUGAGCUACCCUAACAACACCUACUACGCACUGGGUCUUGCGUUGGGCAUUAUCUUAUUUACUCCGAAAAGCGAUUGGGCGGCCUCACUAAUUCCCAUUGUAUGGUUGGGGAAAACUCAGAAAGUCACACUCAGGAAGUGACAGAGACGUGGCUUGAGCUGAGUCUGUGUGAUUUCACUGGCCCGUCAACUUUCAUCUUAAUCACAGAAUGUUCACUGUUCAACGGCCAAGAGGAAUAUUCGAGACUGGCCACCUGUUCGAAGUGUGUGUGUGUGUGUGUUUAUUGUUCCAAUAGUGAUACAAGGCAAUUGGUUAGAAUUUAGCGUCCUAGCAAAAUGGACCUCUUUUGUAUUCUUACCUCUCUGUAUUCCUCAUAGGAUAGAAAAUUCUAGAGCUGCAAUGUCCAAUACAGUAGGCAGUAGCCACUGUGGCUAGUGGGCCCUCGAAACGUGGCUCAUUGAGAUGUGUUACAAGUAUAAAACACACACCAGGUUUCAAAGAUUUGGUAUGGAAAAAAAAAAGAAUAUAAAAUACCUCACUGAUGAUUUCUAUAUGGAUUAUACUGAAAUGAUUGCAUUUUAGAUAUAUUGAGGGUAUAGAGCAAUUGAUGUUCUUUCUUUUUACUUUUUUAAAUAUGGCUCCUAGGAAAAUCUAAGCGGCCUCUGCGGUUCACAUUAUAUUUACAUCGGAGAGCACCAGUGUCUAGGGGAGUGUAUUUGCGAAUUCUGGAUAAAAGGUAAGCGGCUUGUUAAAAUUCUCCUCAGCCUCAGAAAACGCUUUCGUGCCACUAACACCGGCCCCGAAAGGAAGCAAAGUUGGGAGGCUCAGUCGCGGCGUGGGCCCGUGCAGCCCUCCUGGCCCCCCGCGGGCCGCGCUGGGGGCUCCGUCAUGCUCGUGCCCUUAAACUGCGCCAUCAUUUCUUCUCUUGAGCAAAGUGCUUCGUCAUUCCUCUCUGGGAGGCAGGAAGGUGAUGAAACCACGGCACAGAGAAAUGACCUGAUCUCUCCAAGGUCGUUAUGGAAGGCCGUGGCCAAACCCCACGGAGCAGAGUUUACCGGCCCGAAAUGCUUUUCCGGUGGGUGAUCUUAACUGCAGGGGAGCAGGUUCAAUGCCCGGGCUUACGGGGGGUGGGGGAAGGGAUCACAGUGUCUGCGAGUGCCUGACCCCACCCGUCCCGCGUAGUAUUCACUGCUCCCUGGGCUCAAUAACUUCCAUUCUCCUAACGGAGAUGGAAAGUGCCGUCGUAUCCCUCUUUGAUGAUUUAAAAGUGUUGUGUGCCUUUUCCUCUUUCCUCUUUCUAUCCAGCCCUCGCCCUUCCCCUUGCCGCUUUUCACGUUUCCAUAGUAACCACCUCUAUUGUAUCCGUGACUGUGAAGAGAAAUCUUGCAGAUGUUAGUAGAGAUCCAACACCUUCCAGCAGCUAUUUUGAUUCACAGUCUCCUUAUCUCUCGGCGCUGAUUUUCUUGUCCUUUCUUCUCCCUACAGCUGCUCGCUUUCCCCCAAGUACCUGCAAGCCCUUCAGUGUGGCUCCCUCUGUCCUCCACGAGCCUGGGUGAGCUCAGGGCAGGCCAGCGUCUCUGGGGCUCAUUAGAAACCUUAAUUCUUCAGGUGGCUCUGACACAACAACGCGGAAGCUCCAGGGGGGUGGAAUCAAAGGCCGGAGGGCAGUGGGGUAGGAUCUCCAGACGCCCUUAGGGGAGCCCCCUCACCUGAAGGCCCGCAGAACACAGGGAGGGCCUUCCUCGGCCAUCCUUCCCACCUACCACAUCCUGCUCUUUUUCCAGCUCCCGCUCGCCUCCACCCCAGCCUCGUGGAAAGCUCGGGACCACACCCAUGCCUUUGAAUGUCUUCAUUCUGUGCAUUUCCCGCAGAGGGAUCAGCCACCUUUCCUUGCUGGUUCAGAGGACAGGGCAGACAUGGGAACACGCACACGCUCUCAUCAGGGCUUUGAAGACCCACGACACCUGAAUCCCCCACCUCCCCUCUCAGGGCCAGGCUCAGCUGGCCAUCUGGAAAGGCCAUCAGAAUGGGGCUUUAUCGUUCCCCUCCCGAAACUGUUUGAAGAGUUCAUAGCCUACAAUCCCUCCUUGGAACCGGGCAUUAUUCUCUUGAUUACACAAGCCUGACAGCCUGAUCAUAAUAAACAUGUAACUGAAGAGAACCUAUUCCUUUCCAGCGGCAUUAUUUAUUCACCUAAAGCAAAGGCUGAGCUAUAUUUAGCAUAUGAUGUCAGUGGGUUGUUUGGAUUCUUGGAAAUUGGCAGGAAGCCACCUCUCACAUGAUAUAUGAAAUCACUGAUAAAUGCUUCUUUUCACCAAAAGAAAAACAGCUUAAUAAAUGCGGUCCUUUUCUGUUUUCAUCUUCUCCCUCCCUCCCUCCCUCUCCUCCACCGUCCUCCCUCCCCGCCGGCCCCUCCCCCUCCACCGCCUCCCGCCCCUUCCACGUCUGGGAUUUGUCUUUCCGUGGCACAGCUCAGCAGAGCCUGUGAAGUGGAAAUGAGUUGCUCAGUAUCACAGAUCAAAAUGAGGCUGUUGGGAUGCUCGGGAUGGUUUUUUCCUCUCCUAGAGCCUGGAAGGCGGCCAAAGCGCGAGUGAAUCAGACACACACGCACAAAAAGGCAAAUCUAUACAGCAGUGGCUUUAUGGGGCCCAGUAUUUAUGGUGCAGCACUCGCUCUGGGUUGCUAUUUUGCAGGCGAAGAUGGGAAAUAGAUAGUGAUUCAGGAUUGCCAUUAAGUGUGGAAACAGCCCCUGUACAGAUUGUGUGUAAUAAACCAAGUACGGAGAGAAGCCGUAAGAAGCCCAGGAUUUGCCACACUGGAUCAGCCUUGAGGCCCAUCAAGUUCAAGCUCCUGAUUUGUGUGCUGGCUAAUACCUGGUGCUUGGAACAAAUCUUGCUGCCUUCCCUCUGUCUUCCCCGCCACGCGCUGGGUCCAUUAUACAAGGCUGUCGGAGGGCUUGGGCGGGCCUGUGUGUUUGGAGUUAAAUUAAUUCUUGCCCUCCUGUGGAGAUCAGUUUAUAUGGCCCGAAGCGGAAGAUUUAAUUGCCCUUCUCUUAGCUCCUGUAAAAAGCAGCGUCAUUACUGAUCUCGUGGAUUCACCCAGGCCCUUUCAUAAGCAGCUGUCGCGUUUAACUCAGUGACCCCCAGCAGGGGCCUGGUGGGUAGUUUUCCUGGCCAUGGGGAAUAGGGAAGGCACGGCCCCCAAUGGCGGUGGUUCAUUUACGUUUGUCCUCAGUGCCGUGCAGCGGCCCCCCGGUCCUGGCAUCGGAAGACAUCCUGAAGACCAGAGAUGCGCUUGUUUUCAGCCCCUUAUUAUUUGGGGUGUCUUCAUCAGGUGCCUUCUAACAUCCACUCUGUCAAGCAGUCCUGCCUGCAACCGCGGGCGUGUGAGCGACUCGGAGAGUUUCAAAGAUGCCACGGUGACACUGGCCGCUGCUGGCCUUUCUUCCGCGCCCGCCCCUGGGCUGAGCCGGCUCCCACAACUCUUCAAUCUUCAGCCUCAGUCGGAGAGGAGAACCAAAAGGGAGGAGGAGGAGGAAGUGAGAGCAAACCAAAGCUGUGUGCCUCCUGUCCCUGCCUCGGUUCUUAGUGGGGUGUGGGAUAGAUGGACGGGGACAAUAGGCAGAUUAACCGGGACAGAGGGGGGAUGCACCCUUGCAUCAAUUACUCAGGCAGCGAGAAAUCCCACCAAAGGAACUCUGGUUGCAGGUCAAAGCUGUUCUCGGAUUCCACGGUCAAAUUAGCCCUCGCUUGGGACUCCAUAAUAGGGACUGUAGGUGAGUGGGGAGUCUUUGUUUCAGCUGGGAUUAUUUGUUUCCUUCUCAAAAUGAGGGGUGUUGGACCCUGAUGACCCGUUAGCUCCCUUCCAGGCUCUGAAAUUCUCAGGUUCUGUAAUUGUAUGAUUCUGUGACUUUAUGAGUCACCCAGGGGGAUUUAACUCUUUCCUGGGAGGUCACCGCCCUCCUCUCCCCGCAGGUGAGGUGAAUGAGCUCUCAGACACAGAUGCUUCAGGAACACGCCCUGAGGAACAGAGACAGGAACGGGAACAGGGCGCCGAGGCUGCUGUGGGUCCUGAGCGAGCAGUUUUAAGGAGCCCCCCCGCCCCUGACUCCCCGCGAAGCACAGCGCCCACCAGUGAGCCAGCCUGGUCCCGCUUUGACCUCCGGGAUCCGGGGCUUCUGAGGACAGAUCUAGAGCUCGUGAACUGGGAUACGAGGCCAUGCCUGGGUUCAGAAUUCUCCGGGAAGCCACAGGACUUCACUCUCGAUGCAGGAAAGAAAACAGGCGUUUUUAAUGAUCUGGAAGCCAGGUCGGUUUCUGAUUUGCACACCUCAGAGCUUCCAGUUAAUGGAAAGGCCCCAACAGCGUUAUCGCAGCGCGUUGUUGCUGACUCAUCAGAAAGACCAGUCCUGUGAUGAAGGAACCUGGGUCGUUAUUUCUGUCGUAUUCCUGUAUCAACUGAAACAUGCAUUCUAGCACAUGAAGCCAUCUGAGUAAGCCACCUAGCUUUUGAGUCACACACCUAAGAUAUUUUCGUAUCUGAGAUGCGUAAAGCACAACUACACGUGACUCAGAGACACAGGCAAACAGUGGCCCCGUAAGAAACGGGAAGGGAAACGUCUUAUAAUAACCGCCUGGUCUGGACUAUGGACUUUGUUGGGAUUUUCAAAUGAGGGGAUCUUGUUGGUUUUGAAAGCCAUGUUGACAAACUGAUACCGUCUUUUCAGCAUGCCUUGAAUGGAAAACAUGCAAGAUAUGUGAACAAUAUAUUUCCAAAUAUGACACAUAUUUAUAAAACACAGCAAACGCAUGACAGAUUGAGUAGGAUAUGUGGGAAAAAAAUAACAGCUGCGGUACACCCUAUUUCUUAGCAAAUUCACACACAACAAAUGACAUUCAUGUCCCAUGGUUAGCAAAACCUAUUUUUUAAGCAUUUUAGGAAAGGAGGUAGGGAAUGAAAAUAACAGUUUGCAAAAGAAAAAAAAACCCAGAAGGUGGAUGUAAAUUUAAGUGACAUGUCAUGUAAUUAUCAUGCAUAAAACUAGUUCUGCAUAGGUUACCCCCUAUCCCCCAGCAUGCUGCCCUUUGAUGGAAAUUAUAUUAAAUGAGGCAUUCGAAGUGAUUUGCAUUUUCAGGUGGGCUCAAAUGUCAUGUAUAAGGGAAGGCAUUUAGAAAAUUUCAGUAUAAAACAACCAAGAAGUGUGCCAAAGGUGUCAAGAUUUACUUGGAUGGAGGGGAAUUGGUGCCGAUCAUAGUUUGGGCUCUGAACUGAGACAAAUCUGGGUCCUGAACUGAGACAAAUCUGGCCAGAGACACUUGGAUUUGGAUGAAAGGCCAUAGGGAUCCAUGGUCUGUUCUAAAGCAGGGACUUAACACGAGAAGCAGUGUUUUUAGGGGGAUAGUGUCAGCACCUGUGAGCACAAAGCAACCUCUGAGGACAGUGGUGUGAAUUCCUUCUAUGUGUAAUAUAGGCAUUUAGGAUUUGCGAAGGAGUUUUCGCAUUUUCAAAUGCAUAAUCUUAUCUGAGCUAUGGAACCCCCUUGUGAGGCUUGCAUUCAUCGCGCACACUAUCCUAACAAAGAACUCAAGAGUUGUGACUUUGGGGUCACACUCAGAGGAGGCACCAAUCCUAACAACCAGGAUGUUUGUUCCUUUAGGAUGAUCUCUGGGAGACAUGGGGUUACGGGUAUUUUUUUUUUCUCUCUUCUUCUUGUUACUUCUGUGUUUGUCCAAAUUUUCUGCAAUGAGAAAAUAUGAUUUUAUAACUCUAAAGUGACAUGAAAUAUUAUUGCCGUAAACAAGGGACAGAAUCCCCCGUUCUCAUUCCUUCUAGACCAUUCCCUUUGCUCCACCCCCUACUGGAAGCUGGGACUGACUUUCCUGUGCUAUGCAUUGCUGGCCUCUGCCCCCAGCUGGAGCUCUCCCAGAACUCAGGGCUCUGUUCGUAGGCUGAGCUGGUGGAAGUCAACUUAGAACAGGUCAGCCUGGGAGUCUAGAGAACUAAAUUUGCGUCCUAUUUUCUACAAUGCUGGGAAGUUCCUUCAUAUCUGUAUGCCUUAGUUUCCUGCUCUGUAUCCUUUUUGCCAGAUAUGGAGUGUUUCAAGAUUCCCAAGCAAACAUUGCCUUAUCAAAGAAAGGUGAUGCUAAGAUUACAUUCUUGUGGGAGACUGCUAACGUGUUGAAAUACCGCACUUGUGUUUUCUGCUUGGCCUUGGCCUUACCGAAAGGAGACUUUGGGUAACAGAAGUAGGGGGAGGGAAAGGAAAGUGGGCAUGAGAGACGGUGGAGAGGGAGGUGUACCAGUUGAACCGAGGCUGGAGUCAUCAGCAGGCGUUCUGAGCUCCUCUGGCCCUUCCUGGGUGGGCGUGGCUCUAAUGGGACCUCCCUCACUAACGGACACGCCACAGAAACUCAUUCAAGGAGGCCACCUGAUCUAGCGUCAUAGAUAAUAACAGACCAGACUGCUUCCUUGACCUUGGGCAAGCAACUCAGCCUCUCAAUAUCCCACUUUCUCUACCUGUAAAUAAAUGAUCUCACUGGGAGGUGAAGGAUAAUCGAGAUCGAAUUUCCAAAGGAUUUUUAACUCCUUCGAAUGCAUCAGUUUUAAACUUUGGGGAAGGGAGGGUUCUUGGAACCCUCUGAGAAUCUAAUGAAAGCCAGGAGGCUUUCUCCCAAAACGACAUGUACCUGGCCAUCAACUUUCAUAUAAAUUCGUACAGUUUAUAGAUUCCCUGAAGCUUAAACUUCCUCUAAUUUAGGGGAAAAAACCCACACCUGCCUUAAAAGCAAAGUGCUAUAAACAUGUAAAAGAUAGUGUGUCAUUUUCGUGUCCCUGCCAUCCUGUGGAUUUCAUUCGUGAAGCUCAUGUGUUGUUAUCACGACUAUCCUCCUUUAAUUAUUGUUAAAAAUACUCUGGGACUCUGGGGCCCCUGGGUAGCUCCGUUGGUUAAACGUCCAACUUCAGCUCAGGUCAUGACUCAUGGUUUGUGAGAUCAAGCCCUGCAUCAGGCUCUAUGCUGGCAGCAUGGAGCCUGCUUGGGAUUCUCCAUCUCCCUCUCUCUCUCUCUGCCUGUCUCUCACACUCUUUCCAAAUAAAUAAAUAAACUUAAAAAAAUACUAUACUUUCUCUAUUGGUUUUCGUCCUUCCCCGACACCCACCACCAGAUGAUGAUGAUGAUGAUGAUGAUGAUGAUUAUUAUUAUUUACAUUAAGCACCUUGGAACCAAGGAUGCUUUGCUACUGGUCUUCUGUGUAAGACAACAUAGGUCUCUUCCAUCUAAGUAUAAUCUAGUAAAUAGAUAAGAAUAUGUAUAAUUAAAGUGAGCUGCUAAAAUGAGUUCUUUUUUUUUUUUUUAUCACUCUUGGACAGUUAAGAUUGCAAUGCUUGAGAGAAAAUGAAAAGUGGCCCCUCGUCAUGUUAUAGAGGGCACUUGACACAGGCAUUCAAUCUGAGAUUGAUUAAAAUUUGCAUACUUCUUAUUAUUUAUUCUAAAAUAAUUGAAAAGCAGUGGUCUUGAAGAGAGAAUUUUUUUUGACGAACAAUAUUUGAUGCAUUCGUUCCAAAGGAACCAGCCCAUUUAUUCAAUAAUGAAAAAAGGCAUUAUUUUCACAUCGCCACCUAAUGUCUUCUGUUUUCUCCCGUCAUUAUUUAGCUCAGCUGGAAAUUAGGCAUCUUCUUCAGUGACGCUUAAACAAAACAAAACAAAACAAAACAAAAC